AACGACUCUCGGCAACGGAUAUCUCGGCUCUCGCAUCGAUGAAGAACGUAGCGAAAUGCGAUACUUGGUGUGAAUUGCAGAAUCCCGUGAACCAUCGAGUCUUUGAACGCAAGUUGCGCCCGAWGCCUCCGGCUGAGGGCACGUCUGCCUGGGCG
rnacentral:rRNA from 1 species